rnacentral:rRNA from 1 species
CGGGUUGUAAAGCACUUUCAGUAGGGAGGAAGGUAGUGUAGUUAACACCUGCAUUAUUUGACGUUACCUACAGAAGAAGCACCGGCUAACUCCGUGCCAGCAGCCGCGGUAAUACGGAGGGUGCGAGCGUUAAUCGGAAUUACUGGGCGUAAAGCGCAUGCAGGCGGCCUGUUAAGUCAGAUGUGAAAGCCCAGGGCUUAACCUCGGAAUUGCAUUUGAAACUGGCAGGCUAGAGUCUUGUAGAGGGGGGUAGGAAUUUCAGGUGUAGCGGUGAAAUGCGUAGAGAUCUGAAGGAAUACCAGUGGCGAAGGCGGCCCCCUGGACAAAGACUGACGCUCAGAUGCGAAAGCGUGGGGAGCAAACAGGAUUAGAUACCCCUGGUAG